rnacentral:ncRNA from 1 species
AUAAAGUUUAAUUUUAGUUUUUUGGUUUAUUUAAAUUUUUAUUUACAUGUAAAUUUAUGUGAGAAUUUAAAGGUCAUUUAAAUAGUGAUUUUUAAAAAUUUUAUUCGCAGUAUUUAAUUUUAUUAAUUUAAGAAAUUAUGAAUUAUAAAUAAUUAAUAGUAUUGACAAAAUUUGUGCCAGCAGUUGCGGUUAUACAAAAAAUGCAAAUAAAUUUUAUUGAUUAAUAAUUAAAUUAAUUUAUUUUUAUUAAAAUUAGUUUUAUAAAGUGAAAUUUAAAAAUUAAAAUAUUAAUUAUGAAAUUUGUUGAAGUUAUGAAAUUUAAGUUUUAAACUAGGAUUAGAUACCCUAUUAUUUUAAAUGUUAAAUUAUUUAUCAAAGUAGUAUUAGUUAUGAUCUUGAAAUUUAAAAAUUUUGGCGGUGUUUUAGUCUAUUUAGAGGAACCUGUUCUUUAAUUGAUAGUCCACGAUAAAUUAUACUUUAUUUUAUUAGUUUGUAUAUCGUCGUUAUUAAGUAUUUUAGAAGAAUAUUAAUAUUUAAUAUUUUUAAUUUAAAUAUAUUUCAGAUCAAGGUGCAGCUUAUAUUAAAGUAGAAAUGGGUUACAAUAAAUUUAUUUAUACGAAUUUGUUAAUGAAAAUAAUAAUGAAGGUGGAUUUAAUAGUAAUAGAAUUAAUAUAAAUUUUAUGAUUUUAGCUCUAAAAUGUGUACAUAUCGCCCGUCGCUCUUGUUAUAAAAUAAGAUAAGUCGUAACAAAGUAGAUGUACUGGAAAGUGUAUCUAGAAAGAC